UUGAACGCUGGCGGCAUGCCUUACACAUGCAAGUCGAACGGCAGCACGGGGGCAACCCUGGUGGCGAGUGGCGAACGGGUGAGUAAUACAUCGGAACGUGCCCUGAAGUGGGGGAUAACGUAGCGAAAGUUACGCUAAUACCGCAUAUUCUGUGAGCAGGAAAGCAGGGGAUCGCAAGACCUUGCGCUUUAGGAGCGGCCGAUGUCGGAUUAGCUAGUUGGUGAGGUAAAGGCUCACCAAGGCGACGAUCCGUAGCGGGUCUGAGAGGAUGAUCCGCCACACUGGGACUGAGACACGGCCCAGACUCCUACGGGAGGCAGCAGUGGGGAAUUUUGGACAAUGGGCGCAAGCCUGAUCCAGCCAUUCCGCGUGAGUGAAGAAGGCCUUCGGGUUGUAAAGCUCUUUCAGUGGGAACGAAACGGUACAGGCGAAUAACCUGUGCUAAUGACGGUACCCAAAGAAGAAGCACCGGCUAACUACGU
rnacentral:rRNA from 1 species